GAUGAACGCUAGCGGGAGGCCUAACACAUGCAAGCCGAGCGGUAUUGUUUCUUCGGAAAUGAGAGAGCGGCGUACGGGUGCGUAACACGUGUGCAACCUGCCUUUAUCUGGGGGAUAGCCUUUCGAAAGGAAGAUUAAUACUCCAUAAUAUAUUGAACGGCAUCGUUUAAUAUUGAAAGCUCCGGCGGAUAGAGAUGGGCACGCGCAAGAUUAGCUAGUUGGUGAGGUAACGGCUCACCAAGGCGAUGAUCUUUAGGGGGCCUGAGAGGGUGAUCCCCCACACUGGUACUGAGACACGGACCAGACUCCUACGGGAGGCAGCAGUGAGGAAUAUUGGUCAAUGGGUGCAAGCCUGAACCAGCCAUCCCGCGUGAAGGACGACUGCCCUAUGGGUUGUAAACUUCUUUUGUAUAGGGAUAAACCUACCCUCGGGAGGGUAGCUGAAGGUACUAGACGAAUAAGCACCGGCUAACUCCGUG
rnacentral:rRNA from 1 species